GUUGUCGCACGGUUUUGAUUUUACCGUUUCGAUAUCGAUUGGUCGAAAGGACGACAAACGAACGACAAACACUUGACAUGCUCGACAUAGUUUUUUCGAUCGAUUUUCCUUCAAUUCGACGUCGAUUAUCGUCGACGUAAACAGUUUGACAGUUCUCUUCAAUUGAUCUUGUUCGGACUUGAUUGCAACCGAAUCGAACCAGCUGUCGUUACUUUUGGUAUUUGGUUUAGGAGCUGAGAAGAUUUUGGACGAUUUUCGACGGAUAAUAGUGUCUUCCUUGGUGUCUUCUAUUCCAGAUUUCGGUCUUCGAGGCGGUGAAGGAGGACGGGAAAUUUGGCGGGUCGUUCCGGAAGACGGGACGGGAAGGAACCGGUUUGCGAUCGAGGUAGUGGUUGGUGUUUGGUGUUUUACUUUCCGCGGGAGGUUGCGGCACAUACCUGAUGAAACUGGCAACUAAAAUAUUCCAAUCUGAUCAUGCCGGAAACCAUGAGUUCGCCCCCGUAGAACCCACGGAAGUAUUCACGUUAUCUCGUACCCCGGUGGCCAUCAAUCCGCCUGAGAUCCAAGAUUGGCGGGUUAAACUUUGAUCAGCUCGUCGAGAAGCAAAAGUCCAACACCAACAUCCAAGCCGGAAGCUGCGGUCAAGGCAAAUCCGAGAGCAUCCGAAGAAUGCCAAGUUGGAGAAGAAUCGGCGAUCCGGAAGUUAAAUUUCGUGAAAAAGUUAAUA